GCACAUUCAUGCAAGACGUGGGAGGGAGGAGAUCCCUGAGGGAGAAAGUGUAGAGAAAAAAAAACAAAUAAAUAAAUGUCCUAUGAUUUAACUAUGGGAAAAACCUCUGUUUACAGAGUAGGAAGAAGCUGAAUAAUAUUAAUUGCCACCUUGGGCUUCUUCCCCAAAGCACUCUAGAACCGGUUUUUCAAGCACAAAGUGCCCAGACAAGCCACAACAGCCCACAGCACGUUCUCUUCACAGCCUCCCACACCUAUGCCUCGCUCCUUUCUCACCCCUGACUAGUUCCAGGAUCCCUGGUCCACAUUUGGAGGGUGCAGACCCAGGGUAGAAUGUUGUAGAAGAGGAAGAAGUAGUGGGAGCAGGAGAACACAGCAUCUGCACUUGUCCAGCCUUCGGAAGGAGCUGCCAGCCUGAAUGGGAGCGGAGAGCGAACUGCAUGCUCACCGAGAUGACAUGGGGAGUUUGAGAGAAGACAUUCAAAUGAGAAUGUCCCAUAUGCGUUUAGUGCUGUGGUUCAAGAGUUGGACAAGACGUCAGGACUACCACGAUUGGAGACUCAUCAGUAGAGAUUUGACAUUCACAGGAUGGAUAGCAGCCCCCCCCCCCCAAAUCAAAGGAGUCCUGGCUAAGUGAGCUGAAGAAAAGGUUAUCUAUCAAGAAGAAAGCAUGAUUCCUCAGCCUUGGCAGCACAUUAGCAUCAUCUGGAGAACUUUAAAAACUGAUUUUUUUUCCUUCAUUUGAUUUCUUUUCUAAUUGAUUUAACUUUGUAAGGGUGGAAUU
rnacentral:lncRNA from 9 species